GCACAAGCAGUGGAGUAUGUGGUUUAAUUCGAAGCAACGCGAAGAACCUUACCAGGUCUUGACAUCCGAUGCAUAGCGCAGAGAUGCGUGAAGUCCUUCGGGACAUCGAGACAGGUGGUGCAUGGUUGUCGUCAGCUCGUGUCGUGAGAUGUUGGGUUAAGUCCCGCAACGAGCGCAACCCUUAUGGUCAGUUACUACGCAAGAGGACUCUGGCCAGACUGCCGUUGACAAAA
rnacentral:rRNA from 1 species